rnacentral:misc_RNA from 1 species
CCGAGUACCGGGUCUUCAGGGCCCAUACUCCCACCCUUUGUGUAUCAAUAUUCUGUUCGUUGCCUCGGCGGGGUCGAUCCCAUUGCGGGGGACCUGCCGGGGGGACACCACUAAACUCCUAUCAACGGUGACGUCUGAGAAAAUCUUUAAACAAGUUA